AUACGGAGGGUGCGAGCGCUACUCGGAGUCACUGGGCGUAAAGCGUCCGUAGGCGGUCGGGUAAGUCGGGUGUGAAAGCCCCGGGCUCAACCUGGGAAGUGCACCCGAUACUGCUCGACUCGAGUGCGCGAGAGGAUGGCGGAAUUCCCGGUGUAGCGGUGAAAUGCGUAGAGAUCGGGAGGAACACCAGUGGCGAAGGCGGCCAUCUGGCCCGCAACUGACGCUGAGGGACGAAAGCGUGGGGAGCAAACAGGAUUAGAUACCCUAGUAGUCC
rnacentral:rRNA from 1 species